ensembl:lncRNA
GAUUCAUGGGGUCCAAAGAGUCAGACACGACUGAGCAACUGAACUGAACUGAGGUACCUAGCUAAUAGAUUAUUUGUCAGGCUUCCUGACAGACUAAGUUCUAUUCAUAAAGUAUAAGUUCAAGUGUUGCUUGGGACUUUGAGGGGGAUGGCUGCUUAAAGGGAUGGAAGAUACCUCUCUUAUGCUUCUUUCCUUCUUACUGGAAGUAAUGGCUGGAGUUUUAGCGGCCACUUUAGACUAUGAGGUUAUUUGAGGGUAGAAAUCAUGUAUAAGUUGGUGGAAAAUGACAGAAAGAGCCUAGGUCUUUAAUGACCAGUGAGCCACCAAACCAGUCCUCCCCCAAGCCUUUUGGGGUUGGAAGUUCCAGUUGUGAAAAAGAUAUUUGUAUAUGAUACACAAAUAUGGCUCCUUCUAAAUGUUAGAACUGGCACCGCGGCCUGCCCAGGCUUACAGGCUUUCUUUCUAUAUGAAUUAGCAAUUUAGGACUGCUGUUUCACUGGGCCAGUGGAGAAGGAAGUACAUCUGUCGAGAGCCUCGAAGAGAUGAGCAGAUGAAAAUCAAUGAAGAGGAAAACUAGGAUUGAGCAACCCCACAGGUUUCCCAACCAGGAAUCAAACCCGCGUCUCCUGCAUUGGAAAUACAGAGUCUUAACCACUGGGCCACCAAAGAAGUCCCAUUCUCCUCCUCUUUGAUUUACUAGUGACACUGCCUGCCAAAGGCAGCUUCUGGAAGCCAGAGUACAAGGAAAUCUGUUAAUUUUGUUCAUCAACGUCAGCUUUUCUGGCACAAAGCUGGAUAGAGAAGAACGAAGAGAGAUCUAGAGGGACAACUGGAAGAUAUUCAGCCACCUGCUCUGACAUUUUUUGCUCAGGCUAGGCUUAUCACCUAGAACACCCUCAUUUUCAAUUGUCAUAUAAUCCUCUGCUAUGGUCUAGGAUUCAAGUAUAUGACCUACUUUUAAAUACAGACAUCCCUCUCUCCUGGUUAGCAUUUUCAGCUGUAUCUUUCCCACUGACACUUAACUAUAUACAGCCUUUAUUGCCACUAAAUGUUUCAAAGAUAUGGAGUGCUGCUGCUGCUGCUAAGUCGCUUCAGUCGUGUCCGACUCUGUGCGACCCCAUAGACGGCAGCCCACCAGGCUCCGCCGUCCCUGGGAUUCUCCAGGCAAGAACACUGGAGUGGGUUGCCAUUUCCUCCUCCAAUGCAUGAAAGUGAAAAGUGAAAGUGAAAUUGCUCAGUUGUAUCCGACUCUUCGUGACCCCAUGGACUGCAGCCUAUCAGGCUCCUCCAUCCAUGGGAUUUUUCCAGGCAAGAGUACUGGAGUGGGUCGCCAUUGCCUUCUCCUCGUCUCCUCCCAAGUGGUCUCAAUAGUGAUUGAAGGGAGCUGGUGACUGAAAAAUCAAGCAACCUCAUCGAAAUGAUGGAGACGGGGGCAACUCUGAAGUAGCUCCUAAGAGGUUUCCCAGAACCCCCUGGGACCCACAAGGAUGGAUCUGCGUAACAAUUCACCCUUAAUUAGCUUCCUUCCCUUUCUUCUUCUGUCUUUCUGCUGCUGCCAAUGCUUCCUAGAAACACCUCCCAUAUGAAACACUUACUUAAAUUAUUUAAGUUUACUUCUAAGAUAGAAUGAUGUGAUAUCACCAAUGAUAUUCAACCCACUUGUGGUAGGAAUAUGCAAGGAUGUACUUUUCUUGAUAUAGCUUCUCUGUCCUGAUAUUUUCCUCUUUCUUGGCUUUCAUGGUAUAUAAACAUAUUAUUGAUCCGCCUGAGGAAAAUUACAGAUUUUUUAAAAUACUAAAAAUAAAGUUAGUGUUGUCUUAUCUUUUUAUAACAGCAACAUAUCUUUAUUAUUGAAAAUAAUACCACUGUUCUAAAAUAGAGACUGUUAAUAUCUUGCUGUGUGCCCUUUUGGAACAUUUUCUUUACAUGAAUUAAUGUGGGUCUUUUUAAUUGCUUUUUUUCCCACUGAAGAAUGUAUGUUGAAUAACUUGACAAGUCAAAAAAAAAAAAAAAUACUCAUGUUUAAUAGCAUUCAAAAUGACUGCCAGGACUUCCUGGCAGUACAGUGGUUAAGACGUCCCCCUUCCACUACAAGCUGCACAGGUUCAAUCCCUGGUCAGGGAACUAAUUUCCUGCACAACAAUAAAAAUGAUUUCAGGAUGUUUCACUGUAUGGACUUACUACUGCUGCUGCUGCUGCUGCUAAGUCGCCUCAGU